rfam:Ovis aries breed Texel chromosome 17, whole genome shotgun sequence.
UCCCUGGUGGCUCAGACGGUAAAGCGUCUGCCUCCAAUGCAGGAGACCCGGGGUCGAUCCCUGGGUCGGGAA